GCCUAACACAUGCAAGUCGAACGAGGUCCAUGCAGUGGCAACACUGCGGAAGACCUAGUGGCGAACGGGUGAGUAACACGUGAGGAACUUGCCCCGGAGACCGGGAUAACCCUCCGAAAGGAGAGCUAAUACCGGAUGUCCUCACCGAGUCGCAUGGCUUGGUGAGGAAAUGGAUUCCGCUCCGGGAGAGCCUCGCGGCCUAUCAGCUAGUUGGUGGGGUAACGGCCCACCAAGGCGUCGACGGGUAGCUGGUCUGAGAGGACGAUCAGCCACACUGGGACUGAGACACGGCCCAGACUCCUACGGGAGGCAGCAGUGGGGAAUCUUGCGCAAUGGGCGAAAGCCUGACGCAGCAACGCCGCGUGCGGGAUGAAGGCCUUCGGGUUGUAAACCGCUUUCAGUGGGGACGAACCAAGACGGUACCCACAGAAGAAGCCCCGGCCAACUACGUGCCAGCAGCCGCGGUAAU
rnacentral:rRNA from 1 species